GUUCAUUUGCAUACAGCCCAUGAGCCACUGAGUGAGGAUUUACAACUUGAAUUUACAGGGAGAAUCGUAAGGGGAGAAAUAGCUUUUUAAAGCGACUAUGAUGACUCCUGAUGUUUGCUCGGAGAAAGUAAUACAAUCACAGUGGAAGCUUUUUUUCAACAUCAUAACAUAAAAGAAGGUUGCUCGUUGGCAGAAGCUGGAGCUAACAGCGGGAGCUUAACCUGCUCCUUGGAUUCGAACCGUCAACCUUUUGGACAGCAAGUUCAGCACCUCAGCAGUUUAACCUGCUGCACCACGAGGGGGGAGCAAUACAAUAAAAUUGUGCUACAUUAAGCUUA